rnacentral:rRNA from 1 species
UACGUAGGGUGCGAGCGUUGUCCGGAAUUACUGGGCGUAAAGAGCUCGUAGGUGGUUUGUCGCGUUGUUCGUGAAAUCUCACGGCUUAACUGUGAGCGUGCGGGCGAUACGGGCAGACUAGAGUACUGCAGGGGAGACUGGAAUUCCUGGUGUAGCGGUGGAAUGCGCAGAUAUCAGGAGGAACACCGGUGGCGAAGGCGGGUCUCUGGGCAGUAACUGACGCUGAGGCGCGAAAGCUAGGGGAGCAAACAGG